CCUACGGGAGGCAGCAGUAGGGAAUAUUGGGCAAUGGAGGCAACUCUGACCCAGCCAUGCCGCGUGCAGGAUGAAGGCGUUAUGCGUUGUAAACUGCUUUUAUAUAGGAAGAAAGAGUUCUUGCGAGAACAGUUGACGGUACUAUAUGAAUAAGCACCGGCUAACUCCGUGCCAGCAGCCGCGGUAAUACGGAGGGUGCAAGCGUUGUCCGGAUUUAUUGGGUUUAAAGGGUGCGUAGGCGGUUUAUUAAGUCAGUGGUGAAAGACGGUCGCUCAACGAUUGCAGUGCCAUUGAUACUGGUAGACUUGAGUGAGAUUGAGGUAGCUGGAAUGGAUAGUGUAGCGGUGAAAUGCAUAGAUAUUAUCCAGAACACCAAUUGCGUAGGCAAGUUACUAAGUCUCAACUGACGCUGAGGCACGAAAGUGUGGGUAUCAAACAGGAUUAGAUACCCUGGUAGUCCACACUGUAAACGAUGAUAACUAACUGUUGGCUUUCGGGUCAGUGGUACAGAGAAAUCGUUAAGUUAUCCACCUGGGGAGUACGCCGGCAACGGUGAAACGUCGAAAUGAAUUGAGNGNGAGAGNGCGAGGACGACGACGAGGGAGAGG
rnacentral:rRNA from 1 species